AUUGAACGCUGGCGGCAGGCCUAACACAUGCAAGUCGAACGAGUGGCGGACGGGUGAGUAAUGCCUGGGAAACUGCCUGAUGGUGGGGGAUAACUACUGGAAACGGUAGCUAAUACCGCAUACCAUCAAUUGUGCCCAGAUGGGAUUGGCUUGUUGGUGGGGUAACGGCUCACCAAGGCGACGAUCUCUAACUGGUCUGAGAGGAUGACCAGCCAAACGGGAACUGAGACACGGUCCAGACUCCUACGGGAGGCAGCAGUGGGUAAUAUUGCACAAUGGGCGCAACCCUGAUGCAGCCAUGCCGGGGGUAUGAAGAAUGACGUCAGGUUGUAAAGUACUUUCAGCGGGGAGGCGUUACCCGCAGAAGAAGCACCGGCUAACUCCGUGCCAGCAGCCGCGGUAAUAC
rnacentral:rRNA from 1 species